UCGACGAGAAGGGUCCUUCGGGGCCUGAGUAAAGUGGCGCACGGGUGAGUAACACGUGGAUAAUCUGCCCUACAGUUGGGAAUAACCCACCGAAAGGUGUGCUAAUACCGAAUGAUGCUGGUUGACCUUGGUCGAUUAGCCAAAGAGAGCCUCUUCUUGAAAGCCCUCGCUGUUGGAUGAGUCCGCGUACCAUUAGCUUGUUGGUAGGGUAAUGGCCUACCAAGGCUAUGAUGGUUAGCUGGUCUGAGAGGAUGAUCAGCCACACUGGAACUGAGACACGGUCCAGACUCCUACGGGAGGCAGCAGUGAGGAAUCUUGCGCAAUGGGGGAAACCCUGACGCAGCAACGCCGCGUGAGUGAGGAAGGUUUUCGGAUCGUAAAGCUCUGUCAGUUGGAAAGAAACGCCUGUGGGUUAAUACCCCAUAGGUUUGACGGUACCAACAAAGGAAGCACCGGCUAACUCCGUGCCAGCAGCCGCGGUAAUACGGGGGGUGCAAGCGUUGUUCGGAAUUAUUGGGCGUAAAGAGCGUGUAGGCGGCCUGAUGUGUCAGAUGUGAAAGCCCUGGGCUUAACCCAGGAAGUGCAUUUGAAACUGUCAGGCUUGAGUAGGGGAGGGGGAAGUGGAAUUCCUGGUGUAGAGGUGAAAUUCGUAGAUAUCAGGAGGAACACCGGUGGCGAAGGCGACUUCCUGGCCCUAUACUGACGCUGAGACGCGAGAGCGUGGGUAGCAAACAGGAUUAGAUACCCUGGUAGUCCACGCUGUAAACGAUGUUCACUAGGUGUUGGGGGUAUUGACCCCCUCAGUGCCGGAGCUAACGCGUUAAGUGAACCGCCUGGGGAGUACGGUCGCAAGAC
rnacentral:rRNA from 1 species